CCUACGGGUGGCAGCAGUGAGGAAUAUUGGUCAAUGGGCGCGAGCCUGAACCAGCCAAGCAGCGUGAAGGAUGAAUGCCCUACGGGUUGUAAACUUCUUUUAUAAAGGAAUAAAGUGAGGCACGCGUGCCUUUGUGGAUGUAUUUUAUGAAUAAGGAUCGGCUAACUCCGUGCCAGCAGCCGCGGUAAUACGGAGGAUCCGAGCGUUAUCCGGAUUUAUUGGGUUUAAAGGGAGCGUAGAUGGGUUGUUAAGUCAGUUGUGAAAGUUUGCGGCUCAACCGUAAAAUUGCAAUUGAUACUGGCAGCCUAGAGUACAGUUGAGGUAGGCGGAAUUCGUGGUGUAGCGGUGAAAUGCUUAGAUAUCACGAAGAACUCCGAUUGCGAAGGCAGCCUACUAAGCUGCCACUGACGUUGAUGCUCGAAAGUGUGGGGAUCAAACAGGAUUAGAUACCCGGGUAGUC
rnacentral:rRNA from 1 species